AUGUGUGUUCCAAAAAAACAAGGUGGUAUGGGAUUCAGGGACUUGCAUUGUUUCAAUCUGGCCAUGUUGUCUAGGCAAUGUUGGCGCCUAAUUGCAGAACCCGAAUCUUUGUGUGCCAUGGUGUUGAAAGCAAAGUAUUUCGCUGAUGGAGAUUUAUUGAAUUGCCAACUGAAAAAAGGUAGUUCCUUUACUUGGCAAAGUUUGUGGUCAGGAAUACAAACCUUU
rnacentral:rRNA from 1 species